GGUCAAAGGGGACAACCGUCCCGGGCCCCGCCGUUGUUAGGGGCCCCAAGGUCCAGGCAGCGGGCAACAGCGGCUGCAGUUCAUCACAACUGUCAAAAAAAACUGUUUGCUCCCGGCAACGCGGAUUCGCGAGCCGGCCGCUGCGCUGUGAUUUAAGUGUGUGUUUGUUUGCGUGCGCCCCCCCAGUCCCGUGUGCUGUUCAACCCCUCAGUGCCCUGUGAUUGAUCCUGUGUGCUGCUCACCCCUCAGUGCCCUGUUCACCCCUCAGUGCCCCCAGCCCCCAGGUCACCUGUUAUCCUGCCAACCAGUCCCCAGCCAGGAAGCUCGGCCGGACAGGUCACCUGUUAUCCUGCCAGCCAGUCCCCAGCCAGGACCGCCCCUCCAGCGUCCUCACCGCACGCUUCCUCCCUGUCUCUCUCUGCUGUGUGAGUGAGGAGCCGGACUGAGGCACGGAACGCACAGCAGGAGCUGCCAAGACAGGACAGACAGAGUACUGCGGCCUGUGGGAAUUGGGGAGGCGAGCCUGGUGAAUUAGAGCGGCUGUGUCAGUGUGUUGCUGCAGCAGCAAGCAGGAUGUCAUGUCACGUGCCGCAGCCUACCAGUAAUGGAGGAGAGACAGUGGGAACACAGAAACGAGAUAUUACUGCCACAUAACCCAGCAUUCAGUUUGUGGUUGGAUUCAAACUACUAUGGUUCAGUACAUUUCUGGGCACAUGCAUUGAAAGAAGGAUUUAGACAGAAAGAGAAAGACAACCUAUCUGAUGUGGCCUUUUAAUAAUCACAGGAACAUCAACAUCGGAAAUCACAUCACAAGCAUCGAUGCUAGUCCAGUAUUCGUCCCACAUAGAUAAACCAUGGACAGUGGACACUGUCACUAAGCAUACAGAAGGAGGAUGAUGCAAAACAUCAACAUCGCAACUACGUCCAGGUCAGCACGCAAUGAGCAGCGUAUAUGCGAUGGCACAAUGACCUACAACCUCUGCCAUGGAGAUACAGGGUCAGUCAUGUGUACCCGCGGGUCUCUCGCCUGCACAUCGCAUAUUAGAAAAUGUGGGCAGAUAAGCACAUGGACAAGGCCGAGCUGAUCUAUACAUGAAGGUCGUGCGAUAUACGGGCGAUCGCAGACACAUCAGAACACCCUAGUGUAUCAGCGAUAAAGAUAUACGCUCUUCACCGGCCACUGGAAGACAUCGGUCGGAACAUGCGCAUACCUAGGCCUAGUGAACCCAUGGAGCGUAAAUGCGACUUCUCACCUGCCUGUCCCCCCGAUCCAUGGUGUGUGUGUGCGUGUAUGUGUACAGAGGAUAGGAGGUUACAGAGUGUAUGUGUGUGUGAGCAGGGCGAUCUCUCACACCGGCUGCUCCCCCCGAUCCAUGUGAUUGUACAAUGUUCUCUGGGUCCCUUUGUGACGUCACAAUGCGGCUGCUCGCACUUUUUCUCCCUAUACCCCUGCUCUGUCUCAUUUGCAUCUGAAUGACGUCACGUGGUAUGCGGCCCAAUGGCUGCUCUGUCCAUUGUCCCCAGCGGCAGCUGCUGUGUGUAAGGGCAGGGGGAACAGAAAUGCUUUGGUUGUAAGAACCUCCCGUAGCUGUUUUUUCAUCAUGAUGUUGUUUUCUUUUGGAAGAUCGUAUCUUGCAUGUAAUCCCCUUCAGACUUCUUCCUUAUAAAGUUAAUACUGUGUUAUUAAAUAUGUACAAAAAAUAAUAAAUAAAAAAUUAUAAUAAAAAUCA